GGCCCUAUAGCUCAGUUGGUCAGAGCAGCGGACUCAUAAUCCGUUGGUCCCAGGUUCAAGUCCUGGUGGGGCCA
rnacentral:tRNA from 2 species